UCCAUUCCUGUAUAUUCAUUCAAUAUUCAAUAAAUAUUCAAUAUAAUUAAAAACAUUCAACAAAUUUGACAUUCAAGAAAACUAACAUUCGACAAAACUAACAUUCAAGAAAACAACAUUCAAUAAAACUAACAUGGAAGAACUAUUUGGAUGGAACUUCGUGUCGACAGAACUUCGGGUUUAGCAAUCGGAACAUGAGUACUUGAAGUAGGUUCUUCAUGGUCGACAAAACUUCGUGUAAAUCGUCAUUUCUUACUAACCAAUGUUUUUUUGGAUGCCAUUUAUAAUAUGUGAAUACAACAAAAUAUUCAGCACUUAAAAUUAAUAAAAACAGAAAAAUAAAUAAAGUAAAAAAAUUACUCACAAAGAAUAUAUAAGAAAAAUAUAUUUCACUGCUAAAUAGUUAUUUGAAACAUUGAAAUAAAUUUAUUAAUAAAAGGAACAUCGAAAUAGACAAAACAAUAUUGACCAGCAAAGCAAAAUAUCACUUUCUGAAUUCUAAAAAAUAGAAACGAGUAUGGGGGAAAUAGAUAUUUGGGAAAACACAACAGAAAUAGAUUGGCCGAAUUCUAUGAAAAUAAGGUUGAUUUAAGAAUCCAUGAUAAAAAAUAACAAAUAGAUAACCGAAAACAACAAGAUAAAGCAUUUGAUUAAGAAAAGACAGUGAGGAAACAUACCCUUAAUCGCGGAUUUGGAGGUCUUGAAGUUUGAAAAUCUGGAAGUUUGAAAAUUUGAAAUUAACCAUCAACAAAUCUGAAAAAAAUAGAACAUCUAGAAUGGUAUCUAGAAUUUAUUCAGCAUAAAUGAAUUAUUAGUUUAAAGUUCAAACUAUGAACAAAAAUGAGGCAUGCCACUCUGUAAAAUAAGAUGAAUAUAAGAAUUCAGCACUCAGAACAAAUUAUCCUGUAAUAACAUUACCAAAGACAAACCCUUAGAGGUUCCCCAUGCACAAGAUCCGACUGCAAGAUUUCAAAAUAAAGAAGAAAACAAUUGAGGCAUUAUAUGGAAAUGAUAGAAUGAAAUCAUUGAUAAAACAUAUAACAUCUAAAUGAUAUAUCCGACAUUGUAAUUGGUACCAUUUAUUAUUAAUACUAUAUAUUCUGAAUUACUGAUCACCUUCCUUCAAUGCUUCUGCAUCUUGUAGGUAAACCGUAAAUGUACUAAUAUAGUACUGUAAUGAUAUAAUUUAAAGAAAACAGAGAAUGAUAAAACAAAAACCAAACCUAUGGAAUAUGCAUACAUGAAAUCUAGUAAUGUACAGGUUUCAAAUAUUUGAGGAAAGUGUCCAAGAUAUUAUACUCGAGAAUGUGAUUCCGUGAGGAUUGCUCGCCGGAAUCGCCCAAUUGCUCGCCGGAUGGAUCGAGGCAGAAGAGGGCAAAGACUAGGGAUAGUUGUAUAAACUACCCUAAAAGUAUAGUUGCAAUAGUAAACAAAGUUUACUGUAGAAAGAGGGGGAAAUGAGUGGAAAAUGUUAUAUCUUAAAUAUUGAUUAACCAAUGUAUUUAUACUAAUACAGACUUAAUCAGAUAUUAAACAACUUUAACUAACUUCUUGUUGGGACAGACUGCUAACACAAACUGUUGGGCUUCUUUAAUUCUUGGCCCGUCGAGUAUUUCUUCGUUACAUUUUAUCUCGUGGACCGCCUUGACGGGUUUCUUUAAUUUGUGUUUUUUGGGAGGCUUUGUGUCCUCCUUCCUAUUAUGUAUUUGAAUGUUUCUUUUGUUCCCUACAGUUCCUAUGACUUCUACAAACUCAUUUAUGUCUCUCUUACGCACUGAUGUAAUUUUUCAUCUUUAACAAUUUCCUUUUCGUACGAGUGGUUUCUUUGUUUGUGUUUAUUAAAUGUAACUACUUGUUGAUUAGGGAUCUGGCAACUUCCAAUUUUCUACUAUGAUCUUAAUUUCUCUCGGCAUUUCGACUACCAGGUUCUCUACAUCUGAUUUCCCUACGGGCAAUUUGAGUAGGUAUUCCUGCUACUUUUCUUUAGAGUCGUGUCGCUACCCUGGCGGGACUCCCUUUUUUUUUAUAUAUACGAUUACUUUUCUUCAGGCAUCCUCCCUAUGGCUAUUUUGCCCCCUUCUCCUUGAACAAUCGAUCUGGCCCACUGUACCGUACGGCCCAUCCGGUCCUUGGGUAUUAACUAAUUUUUAGAACUACUUUUGAUUUCCCACUAAAAAAGAAAAAAUUCUUCAACAGUUGCGUCUUUCCAGGCUUCUUCCGUACGACCAUUUUGACCCUCCUCCUUCGAAUGUCCGAGCUCAUACUUGUAGCAAAAUGCACUUACUUUUCCGUACGGUCCAUCCGUCCCUCGGGUAUGAAAUUUUAUUUUUAUUUUUAUUUUGGAAAUAUUUUUAAUUUCCCGCCAAAAGAUCUUCUAUAUAUAGUCUCUUUCCACUUCACUCAUCUUCACUUCUCUCUUUUUUUUCAGUAGGGUUUCUCUUCCGCUAAUCGCCGCAUCCUCUCCCAUGGCCGAUCUCUCUACCUUCCUAGACGAUAUUCCCGAUUUCAACGGUAACUCUCUAAACUCCUCUGAAGAUCCUCCCUCCGUACUUAGUAGGCGGCAAGCCCGCCGUCAUUUCCAGGUGAUCGCUCCCUCUGUAGCGAUAGCUCAUCUUGAAAUCCCCAAUGAUGCUUCUGCCUCUUCGCCUCCUGAUGGCUAUACUGCCCUCUAUUCGGGUUUUGAGGACUUAGGGCUUCGGCUUCCCGCUUCUCCCUUCCUCUUGUCUUUUCUUUCGUAUACUGGUGUUGCUAUUUCUCAACUUUCCCCCUCUAGUCUCGAUCGUGUUGUUUCGUUCGAACAUUUGUGCUAUGAACUGGAUUUGAAGCCCUUCGAGCGUGUUUUCCGUCUAUUUUUCUCUAUCUCUCGGCCCAAUUCCGCACGGCUUUUGGUUUCUUCUAGAAUAAGACAUAAACUCCUCGAUUCUUAUCCCGAUCGUUCGCAUCGGUGGAAGAGCCGCUAUUUCUUUGUAAAGAGCCUUUCCGUAGGAUUGUCAGGGGUUCCUUCCAAGUGGGUAAACACUUCCUCCUUCGAAGCUGGGAGCCUUUCAGUAGGGGAACUUUCUCCGGAGGAACAUGAUGUGUACUCCCGCCUUCUAUCUUUCCGUUCGAAUCCUAUCGAUUAUUCUAGUUUGAUGGCCGGGACUUGGAAAUCUGUUCACCCGCAUCUCGUCCCUUCUGGUAAUUUACAUUUGACUUUGUUAAUUUUUCCUUUUUCAGGCGAACCUGACGGAGAAGGUUUGUCGGGCUUGUUUGUAGGAUCCGGAUCGCAGCGGGGCGGCAAGAGAGCUCGUACGGAAAUGGUUGAUAAUGCUGGUGAUUCUUCCAACGUUCUUUCUGACGACUACACUAAGUACAUUAACUUUUCUGAUGAUGCAAAUAACCAAGGCUUUGGGGACCGUCUGUUUGUGACCGAACAUAUGCAAGCCCCUCGGAUUGCUGGGAUCUACGAACAAGCGCUCGGCCGAUUGGAUUCCACGGUUAAGAAGGAGGCCGACUGGACGACCUUGGAAAAGACUGCCCUUGAUGAUAUUGAUGAAGCGUGCUACAUCCGGGCUCUUCAAACCGUGACUACGGAGCGUCAUCGACAGAAAAGGGGGAUACAACGGACGCGUGAACUUAACGAUGCCUUGGCUGAGGUUACUCGCUUGACCCAGCUACUUUCCUUGAAGGAUGCUGAGAUCGAGUCUUUUAGGGUGGGGAAUGAGUCCCUCCGGGUGGAGAAUGAGUCCCUCCGGGCAGAGAGGGACGAGAAGGCCGUCCGGGUUGCGUCCAUGGAAGCGGACAUCGCGCGUGCCAAGGUGAAGUUCACUGAGAAAGCCAAGCAUUUGACCGAACGGAACAAGCGUGCUUGCUUCAAAAAUUUUGUUGAAGGCAUGGUUCACGGGCGGGAUAUGGUGAAUCUCCGGGUCCUGAGUAUGAAUCCACCGUUGUUCCUAUUAACCCACCAAUGUGGGAACAAUGGAAAGCGACUGGGAUCCCUACGGAGCAUCCUGCCUGGCCCAAGACUCUCUCCGAUUUGACGGGUCAAGAAAACCAGUAACUUAAAAGAAUUUUCAAAAAAGAAGAAUUAGAACAUACCUUUUGUUUCUGUAAUUUGAAUUUUUAUCUCGUACUUUUGCUUAUUAUUUUCCUUUCUUCGUCCUUGUUUCCCUGCAAAUAUCUUUUUGUUAUAAUUGUUCAAAGGUGCCUUUAACCCUAUCUUUCGUUGAUAUUCUUUACGGUCCUAUUGCCCUGAGGCUUUG
rnacentral:lncRNA from 1 species